rnacentral:rRNA from 1 species
AUUGAACGCUGGCGGCAGGCUUAACACAUGCAAGUCGAGCGGAGAUGAGGUGCUUGCACCUUAUCUUAGCGGCGGACGGGUGAGUAAUGCUUAGGAAUCUGCCUAUUAGUGGGGGACAACAUUCCGAAAGGAAUGCUAAUACCGCAUACGUCCUACGGGAGAAAGCAGGGGAUCUUCGGACCUUGCGCUAAUAGAUGAGCCUAAGUCGGAUUAGCUAGUUGGUGGGGUAAAGGCCUACCAAGGCGACGAUCUGUAGCGGGUCUGAGAGGAUGAUGCGCCACACUGGGACUGGGACACGGCCCAGACUCCUGCGGGGGGCAGCAGUGGGGAAUAGUGGACAAUGGGGGGAACCCUGAUCCAGCCAUGCCGCGUGUGUGAAGAAGGCCUUAUGGUUGUAAAGCACUUUAAGCGAGGAGGAGGCUACUGAGACUAAUACUCUUGGAUAGUGGACGUUACUCGCAGAAUAAGCACCGGCUAACUCUGUGCCAGCCGCCGCAGUAA